rnacentral:rRNA from 1 species
GAUGAACGCUAGCGGCAGGCCUAACACAUGCAAGUCGAGGGGUAGAAGCUUUCGGGCUUUGAGACCGGCGCACGGGUGCGUAACGCGUAUGCAAUCUGCCUUGUACUGAGGGAUAGCCCAGAGAAAUUUGGAUUAACACCUCAUAGUAUUUUUGCCUGGCAUCAGGUGAUUAUUAAAGGUUACGGUACAAGAUGAGCAUGCGUCCCAUUAGCUAGUUGGUAUGGUAACGGCAUACCAAGGCUACGAUGGGUAGGGGUCCUGAGAGGGAGAUCCCCCACACUGGUACUGAGACACGGACCAGACUCCUACGGGGGGCAGCAGUGAGGAAUAUUGGUCAAUGGGCGCAAGCCUGAACCAGCCAUGCCGCGUGCAGGAUGAAGCAUCUAUGGUGUGUAAACUGCUUUUGUACGGGAAGAAACACUGCUACGUGUAGCAGCUUGACGGUACCGUAAGAAUAAGGAUCGGCUAACUCCGUGCCAGCCGCCGCAGUAAAAC